rnacentral:misc_RNA from 1 species
GAUGAAGAACGUAGAGAAACGCGAUAUGUAAUGUGAAUUGCAGAAUUCAGUGAAUCAUCGAAUCUUUGAACGCACAUGGCGCCUUCCAGUAUCCUGGGAGGCAUGCCUGUCCGAGCGUCGUUUCAACCCUCGAGCCCCCGUGGCCCGGCGUUGGGGAUCUGCCCAGGCAGUCCCCGAAAACCAGUGGCGGACCCGUUACAGGCCCUUCCCUUGCGUAGUAGCAUUCGCCUCGCAUCGGGAGCCGGCGGGCUUCCAGCCUCUAAACCCCCAUCAAGUCCGCCCCGGCGGCACCAAGGUUGACCUCGGAUCAGGUAGGGAUACCCGCUGAACUUAAGCAUAUCAAUAAGCGGAGGA